UACGUAGGGUGCGAGCGUUAAUCGGAAUUACUGGGCGUAAAGCGUCCGCAGGUGGCGAUGUAAGUCUGCUGUUAAAGAGUGAGGCUCAACCUCAUAAGAGCAGUGGAAACUACAUAGCUAGAGUGCGGUAGGGGCAGAGGGAAUUCCUGGUGUAGCGGUGAAAUGCGUAGAGAUCAGGAAGAACACCGGUGGCGAAAGCGCUCUGCUAGGCCGCAACUGACACUGAGGGACGAAAGCUAGGGGAGCGAAUGGG
rnacentral:rRNA from 1 species